rnacentral:snRNA from 1 species
GUGCUCGCUUCGGUACCACAUAUAUUAAAAUUGGAACAAUACAGAGAAGAUUAGCAUGAUCCCUGUGCAAGGAUGGCACUCAAAUUCGUGAAGCGUUCCAUAUUUUU